CUCUCCAACCCAAGUGUGCCACACUUAGCAGCCUAUAUCUACGUACUUGUGCGGCAAACAAGUGCUUGUGUAAUAUUAAUAUUCUCUGUGUAUUGCGUAGUUUCCAGUUCAGGUUUCAGGGUAAUAAUAAACAGGAGGCCUUGUUAUAAAUUAUAAUACUAGGCUAAGGAGGUAUGUUACAAAAACAGAGUUGUUAAUGUAUUAUUCUGUUAUUAGCCUGCAUAGUCGUCAAGUUCCAAGUCAGAAUAACUGUGCAAAAGUUUUAAAUUAUUGCGGCUACAUUACUGUACGAAUGCAUAGGAGUUAUUAGAUAAGUAUUGUGAAUGCAUAGGAGUACGAAUGCAUAGGAGUCAUUAGAUAACCAUUUGAAUUUUGAAUAAAUUUAUAUAAAAAUUACCAACAUUUAUGAUAUAAAAUAAAAAUAAGAGUCAUUAGAUAAGUUAUAGUUUUUGAAUUUAUUAUGGGCUAGGCUCAUUUAGAUUUAAUA
rnacentral:lncRNA from 1 species